AUGAACGCUAGCUACAGGCUUAACACAUGCAAGUCGAGGGGCAGCAUGGUCUUAGCUUGCUAAGGCCGAUGGCGACCGGCGCACGGGUGAGUAACACGUAUCCAACCUGCCGUCUACUCUUGGACAGCCUUCUGAAAGGAAGAUUAAUACAAGAUGGCAUCAUGAGUCCGCAUGUUCACAUGAUUAAAGGUAUUCCGGUAGACGAUGGGGAUGCGUUCCAUUAGAUAGUAGGCGGGGUAACGGCCCACCUAGUCUUCGAUGGAUAGGGGUUCUGAGAGGAAGGUCCCCCACAUUGGAACUGAGACACGGUCCAAACUCCUACGGGAGGCAGCAGUGAGGAAUAUUGGUCAAUGGGCGAGAGCCUGAACCAGCCAAGUAGCGUGAAGGAUGACUGCCCUAUGGGUUGUAAACUUCUUUUAUAAAGGAAUAAAGUCGGGUAUGCAUACCCGUUUGCAUGUACUUUAUGAAUAAGGAUCGGCUAACUCCGUGCCAGCAGCCGCGGUAAUACGGAGGAUCCGAGCGUUAUCCGGAUUUAUUGGGUUUAAAGGGAGCGUAGAUGGAUGUUUAAGUCAGUUGUGAAAGUUUGCGGCUCAACCGUAAAAUUGCAGUUGAUACUGGAUAUCUUGAGUGCAGUUGAGGCAGGCGGAAUUCGUGGUGUAGCGGUGAAAUGCUUAGAUAUCACGAAGAACUCCGAUUGCGAAGGCAGCCUGCUGGACUGUAACUGACGCUGAUGCUCGAAAGUGUGGGUAUCAAACAGGAUUAGAUACCCUGGUAGUCCACACGGUAAACGAUGAAUACUCGCUGUUUGCGAUAUACAGCAAGCGGCCAAGCGAAAGCGUUAAGUAUUCCACCUGGGGAGUACGCCGGCAACGGUGAAACUCAAAGGAAUUGACGGGGGCCCGCACAAGCGGAGGAACAUGUGGUUUAAUUCGAUGAUACGCGAGGAACCUUACCCGGGCUUAAAUUGCAGAUGAAUUACGGUGAAAGACGUAAGCCGCAAGGCAUCUGUGAAGGUGCUGCAUGGUUGUCGUCAGCUCGUGCCGUGAGGUGUCGGCUUAAGUGCCAUAACGAGCGCAACCCUUGUUGUCAGUUACUAACAGGUUCUGCUGAGGACUCUGACAAGACUGCCAUCGUAAGAUGUGAGGAAGGUGGGGAUGACGUCAAAUCAGCACGGCCCUUACGUCCGGGGCUACACACGUGUUACAAUGGGGGGUACAGAGGGCCGCUACUACGCGAGUGGAUGCCAAUCCCAAAAACCUCUCUCAGUUCGGACUGGAGUCUGCAACCCGACUCCACGAAGCUGGAUUCGCUAGUAAUCGCGCAUCAGCCACGGCGCGGUGAAUACGUUCCCGGGCCUUGUACACACCGCCCGUCAAGCCAUGGGAGCCGGGGGUACCUGAAGUGCGUAACCGCGAGGAGCGCCCUAGGGUAAAACUGGUGACUGGGGCU
rnacentral:rRNA from 1 species